GCCGCGGGCGCCGGCGCCGGGGGAGGGGUGGCCGGGGCCACGGCCGGCGGGGGAGACACCGGCGCCGGGGUCGGCGGCGGCAUCGUCGGGGGCGGGGACACCGGGGCCACGGGCGCGGGCAUCGGGGUGGCCGCCGGGGCCUGGGCCGCGGUGGCGGCGAACAGCAUGGUCAGGGCCAGAGCCACGAGCUGGAUGCGCGCCAUUGCAGGAGUGAAGAGGAGAGCUUGAGCUUGAGCUUGGGGUGGCUUCUGCUUCUGCUUGAGGUGGUGCUGGUGGUGGUGUGUACUGUAAUGGUGUCCGAGACGGUAUUGGGCCGGGAGAUUAUAAAGGGGCCGCGGACGGGGCCACGACGACGAAUUACAAGAUGUGUCAGGGGCCUUCCUGCUAAUUUGCGCGCCGGGUAGCCGUCCGAUCGACAUCCAACAGCUGGUCCGGGUGGAAAGCUUCAACUCUUUUUUCUUCUCCGAACUUCUGACUUCUGAACAGCAAGCAAGCAAGUUUUUUUCCAAACGAUCAGAAAAAAUCUAGUUCAAUCCCAACAGCUGGCGGACAUAAUUUCUUUCUUUUGGUUCAUGGAAAAUUCUCCCGCGAUCGCCUUGCCUAAUUCUGUUUCUCGUUAUGGUUCACGCGUGGUUCUGGUCGACGGUGAGCUGGGUUUCUCUUCCUGUUUUUGCCUUGCCUAAUUUUGUCUUCUGGACGAUCAAUGCAAAAUGGCAAGUAGCUAGUGAGCCAAUUGGCCCACGCGUUCGCAAUGUCCCUUACAACCACAAUAAAAUGUCAGACUUCAAAACAAUAUUACUUCGAAAGUCAAGGUCACGCGUAAAUGUGAAAUGGCAAGUUUCUUUUAGGGUUGUGUGAAAUACCAAGUGGUAUUUGCUAAUGAGCCGAUUGGCUCACGCGUUUGCGGAGUUAUUGCAUCAAGUUUUUCUUUACAAGGAUGAUAAAAAGUCAGAUUUCAAAAACAAAGUUACUUCCAAAGUCAAAGUGCUUUUUCUCGCAAUUACAUGGGCGACGCACGCGCAGACACGCAUGCGCCAACGUGAAAUAUCAAGAAGUAUUUGCUAGUGAGCCGAUUGGCUCACACGAUUGCGAUGUUUGUGCAUCGAGUUUUCUUUACAAGGAUAAUGGAGGUCCAUUUUCAACAGCAAGGUUGCCUCCAAGGUCAAGGUGCUUCUUUAUGCAGUUACAACACACACGUAGACACGCACACACGCACUCAGAACCUUAUAAAUUUGGAGAAUUUUUUUCCUUUUCUUUUUGAGGCAACCUUGCUGUUGAAAACUAAAGUUGAGAGAGAGUUUAGUCCCACCCUGAAAGUUGAGAGUUGCACCUCUUUAUAAAGUGAGCUCUUCUACCACUUGUAUGAGCAUGAGAAGAGGAGACCCAAUUCUCACAGACUACGACGUUAAUAGUCAAAUUCAUAUAGGUGUGUUCCUUAGAAGAUGUUCUGCAGGACAACAUCUCUGCUUACCCGAAUAAGCCACUUGGAACACAUUAAGAUAAGUAUCAACCUGCCAUGCAGAUCAAGAGAGUAUUGCAUCUUCACGGAGUGGGAUAAUUAAUAUAGGGAUACUCUCCUCCCAGCUGACCAACAGCUUGUCUCCCACUUCUACUUCACGGGAUCUCCGAUCAUAUAGAGUGGUUUACCACUAUGGACAACUCAUGCGGUGGGUCUCAAACCCAUCUCUAUCGAUGCAUCAUCUAUCACAUUACAUGAUAGACCAUUUGUGAAGGGAUCUGCCAAGUUUUUCGACGUUUGGAUAUAAUCCAACGUAAUAAAUCCGGAGUUCCUCAAUUUUCUGACAGAUUUUAGUCUCCUCUUCACAUGCCUUGAGGACUUCAUAUUGUCCUUAGAACUGUUUAUCUUGACGAUCACAGUUUGAUUAUCACAGUUCAUCAGGAUAGGGGGGAUUGGUUUUUCAACCAUAGGUAAGUCCAUCAAGAGUUCACGAAGCCACUCUGCUUCAACAGUGGCAGUGUCUAAUGCUGUGAGUUCUGCUUCCAUAGUUGACCUUGUUAAGAUGGUCUGCUCGCAAGACUUCCAGGAAACAGCACCACCACCAAGUGUAAAAACAUAACCACUUGUGGCCUUAAUCUCAUUAGCAUCAGAUAUCCAGUUUGAGUCACUAUAACCCUCCAGUACCCUUGGAUACCCGGUGUAGUGAAUCCCAUAGCUCGCGGUGCCUUUCAAAUAGCGCAUAACUCUCUUAAGCACAUGCCAAUGAUCAUCUCCCAGUUUUGACACAAACCAACUCAGCUUGCUCACAGCAAAAGAGAUGUCAGGCCUCGUGGCACUCGCCAAAUACAUAAGCGAGCCAAUAAUCUGAGAAUACCUCAGUUGAUCUCUAGCAAUCCGUCGAUUCUUUCGAAGCAACACACUAGCAUCAUAUGGAGUUGGAGAAGGCGUGCAGUCGCUAUACCCAAAACAACUCAAGACCUUUUCCACAUAAUGAGACUGAAGCAGUGUGAUCCCACCAUUCUCAUCUCUCAACAGCUUGAUGUUUAAGUUAACAUCAGUUACUCCUAGAUCCUUCAUCUCAAAACAGCGAGAUAAGAAAUCCUUAACCUCCUUGAUUAAAUCAAGUUUGGUUCCAAAGAUCAAUAUGUCGUCGACAUACAGACAAAGAAUAACUCCUUCGCCCCCAUGCUACGUCUCGAGCUAGCGUUGGUUUUCUCCGAAGAGGAGGGGGUGAUGCAGCACAGUAGCGUAAGUAUUUCCCUCAGUUUUUGAGAACCAAGGUAUCAAUCCAGUAGGAGGUCACGCGCAAGUCCCUCGUACCAACACAAAACGGUAGCAACUCGCAACCAACGCUUAGGGGUUGUCAAUCCCUUCACGGUCACUUACGAGAGUGAGAUCUGAUAGAGAUAAUAUUUUUGGUAUUUUUGGUAUAAAGAUGCAAAGUAAAAAGUAAAAGCAAAACAAGUAAAAUAAAUUAAUGGAGAUUGAUAUGAUGAGAAUAGACCCGGGGGCCAUAGGUUUCACUAGUGGCUUCUCUCAAGAGCAUAGAUAUUCUACGGUGGGUGAACAAAUUACUGUUGAGCAAUUGAUAGAAUUGAGCAUAGUUAUGAGGUUAUCUAGUUAUGAUCAUGUAUAUAGGCAUCACGUCCGUGACAACUAGACCGACUCCUGCCUGCAUCUACUACUAUUACUCCACUCAUCGACCGCUAUCCAGCAUGCAUCUAGAAUAUUAAGUUAAAAACAGAGUAACACCUUAAGCAAGAUGACAUGAUGUAGAGGAAUAAAUUCAUGCAAUAUGAUAAAUACCCCAUCUUGUUAUCCUCGAUGGCAACAAUACAAUACGUGCCUUGCAACUCUUUCUGUCACUGAGUAAGGACACCGCAAGAUUGAACCCAAAGCUAAGCACUUCUCCCAUUGCAAGAACUACCAAUCUAGUUGACCAAACCAAACGGAUAAUUCGAAGAGACUUGCAAAGAUAACUCAAUUAUACAUAAAAGAAUUCAGAGAAGAUUCAAAUAUUAUUCAUAGAUAAGUUGGAUCAUAAACCCACAAUUCAUUGGUCUUAACAAACACACCGCAAAAAGAAGAUUACAUCGAAUAGAUCUCCACGAGAGAGGGGGAGAACAUUGUAUUGAGAUCCAAAAAGAGAGAAGAAGCCAUUUAGCUACUAGCUAUGGACCCGAAGGUCUGAAGUAAACUACUCACACUUCAUCGGAAGGGCUAUAGUGUUGAUGUAGAAGCCCUCCGUGAUGGAUGCCCUCUCUGGCAGAGCUCCGGAACAGGCCCCAAAAUGGGAUCUCGUGGAUACAGGAAGUUGCGGCGGUGGAAUUAGGUUUUUGGCUCCCUCCCUGGUCUAAUGGGGGUAUGUAGGUAUAUAUAGGAGGAAGGAGCACGUCGGUGGAGCUCCGAGGGGCCCACGAGGCAGGGGCGCACCCAGGGGGCGCCCUCCACCCUCGUGACCUCCCCGGAAACUUCUUGGAGUAGGGUCCAAGUCUACUGAAUCACGUUCGGUGAGAAGAUCACGUUCCCGAAGGUUUCAUUCCGUUUGGACUCCGUUUGAUAUUCUGUUUCCUAGAAAUACUGAAAUAGGAAAAAAACAGCAAUUCUGGGCCGGGCCUCCGGUUAAUAGGUUAGUCUUAAAAAUAAUAUAAAAGUGAAAAAUAAAACCCAAUAUAGUCCAAAAUAGUAGAUAAAGUAGCAUGGAACAAUCAAAAAUUAAAGAUACGUUGGAGACGUAUCAGACAUCCCCAAGCUUAAUUCCUGCUCGUCCUCGAGUAGGUAAAUGAUAAAAAGAGAAUUUUUGAUGCGGAGUGAUACUUUGGCAUAAUUUCAAUGUAAAUCUUCUUAAUCAUGGUAUGAAUAUUCAGAUCCGAAAGGUUCAAGACAAAAGUUCAUAUUGACAUAAAAAUGAUAAUACUUCAAGCAUACUAAUCAAACAAUUAUGUCAUCUCAAAAUAACAUGGCCAAAGGAAGUUCAUCCCUACAAAAUCAUAUAGUUAGGCUAUGCUUCAUUUUCGUCACACAAAGAUGUUCCCAACUUUUAUACCCCCGAUGACAAGCCAAGCAAUUGUUUCAUACUCAAAUAAUCUCAAACUUUUUCAACCUUCACGCAAUACAUGAGCGCGAGCCAUGGACAUAGCACUAUGGGUGGUAUAGAAUAUGAUGAUGGGGAUUGUGUGGAGAAGACAAAAAAGGAGAAAGUCUCACAUCAACGAGGCUAAUCAAUGAGCUAUGGAGAUGCCCAUCAAUUGAUGUUAAUGCAAGGAGUAGGGAUUGCCAUGCAACGGAUGCACUAGAGCUAAGAAUGCUCAACAAAAGAAAACUAGUGGGUGUGCAUCCAACUUGCUUGCUCAUGAAGACCUAGGGCAUUUUGAGGAAGCUCAUCGUUGGAAUAUACAAGCCAAGUUCUAUAAUGAAAAAUUCCCACUAGUAUGAAUAAGACAACUUAUGAGACUCACUAUAUGAAAAUCAUGGUGCUACUUUGAAGCACAAUAUAUGAGACUCACUACAUGAAGAACAAGGUGCUACUUUGAAGCACAAGUGUGGAAAAAAGAGAUAGUAGCAUUGCCCUUUUUAUUUUCUCUUUUUUGGGGGGCCUUUCUUUUUUUUUUUGGCCUUUCUCUCUCUUUUUUUGAUUGGGCAAUGCUCUAAUAAUGAUGAUCAUCACACUUCUAUUGAUUACAACAUAAUGAUUACAACUCGAUACUAGAACAAGAUAUGACUCUAUAUGAAUGCCUCCGGUGGUGUACCAUGAUGGUGCAAUGAAUCAAGAGUGACAUGUAUGAAAAAUAAUGCAUGGUGGCUUUGCCACAAAUACGAUGUCAACUACAAGAUCAUGCAAUGACAAUAUGACAAAAGUAAAGCAUGUCAUGAUGAUGAUGAUGAUGAUGGAAGUUGCAUGGCAAUAUAUCUCGGAAUGGCUAUGGAAAUGCCAUGAUAGAUAGGUAUGGUGGCUGUUUUGAGGAAGGUAUAGGGAGGUUUAUGUGUGAAAGAGCGUGUCAUAUCAUGGGGUUUGGAUGCACCGGCGAAGUUUGCACCAACUCUCAAUGUGAGAAAGGGUAAUGCACGGUACCGAAGAGGCUAGCAAAUGGCGGAAAGGUAAAAGUGCGUAUAAUCCAUGGACUCAACAUUAGUCAAAAGAACUCAUAUACUUAUUACAAAAAUUUAGAAGUCAUCAAAAAUCAAGCACUACGCGCAUGCUCCUAGGGGGAUAGAUUGGUAGGAAAAGACCAUCGCUCGUCCCCGACCGCCACUCAUAAGGAUGCACAAGCCAGGUACACUUCAUGCUUUAAAUUUGUUACACAAUUUUAACCAUACGUGCAUGCUACGGGACUUGCUAACUUCAACACAAGUAUUUCUCAGAUUCACAACUACUCAACUAGCACGACUAUGAUAUUAUCACCUCCAUAUCUCAAAACAAUUAUCAAGUAUCAAACUUAUCUUAGUAUUCAACCCACUAAAAAGAAAGUUUCACAUAUCUUGAAUACCAAGUAUAUUAACAUUAAGCAAAUUACCAUGCUAUUAACGACUCUCAAAAUAAUCUAAGUGAAGCAUGAGAGAUCAAGUUUCUUUAAAACAAACCACCACCGUGCUCUAAAAGAUCUAAGUGAAGCACUAGAGCAAAAAUUAUCAUGCUCAAAAAGAUAUAAGUGAAGCACAUAGAGUAAACUAUCAAGCUCAAAAGAUAUAAGUGAAGCACAUAGAGUAUUCUACCAAAUUUCAAUUCAUGCAUGGCUCUCUCAAAAGGUGUGUACAGCAAGGAUGAUUGUGGUAGACUAACAAGAAAAGACACAAAUAAUACAAGAUGCUCCAAGCAAAACACAUAUCAUGUGGUGAAUAAAAAUAUUGCUCCAAGUAAAUUACCGAUGGAAGUGGACGAAAGAGGGGAUGCCUUCCGGGGCAUCCCCAAGCUUUGACUUUUUGGUAUCGUUGGAUUAUCUUGGGGGUGCCAUGGGCAUCCCAAGCUUAGGCUCUUGCCACUCCUUGUUCCAUAAUCCAUCAAAAGAAUUCACCCAAAACUUGAAAACUUCACAACACAAAACUCAAUAGAAAUCUCGUGAGCUCCGUUAGAGAAAGAAAAUAAAAGACUACUUUAAGGUACUGUAGUGUACUUGUUCUUUAUUUGUAUUGGUGUUAAACCUACUGUAUUCCAAUUUCUCUAUGGUUUAUAAACUAUUUUACUAGCCAUAGAUUUAUCAAAAUAAGCAAAUAACACACGCAAAACAGAAUCUGUCAAAAACAGAACAGUCUGUAGUAAUCUGUUACUAACGCAAACUUCUAGAACCCAAAAAAUUCUACCAAAAUUAGACGACCUGGGCAAUUUGUUUAUUGAUCAGCAGCAAUUGGAAUCACUAUUUUAUCACGUUCUGGUGAUUUUUGACAAUUCGGGCACUGAGCGCAAAGAUUCUGGAAAUUACAGCAAGAUCAAAUAACUAUCUUUCAAGAAGAUCUAAUAGGUUUAACUUGGCACAAACACUAAUUAAAAGAUAAAACCACAUCUAAACAGAAUAUAAAUGGAUUAUUUAUUCCUAAACAGAACCAAAAACAAAAAAUACAAAAUAAAAUUGGGUUGCCUCCCAACAAGCGCUAUCGUUUAACGCCCCUAGCUAGGCAUAAAAGCAAGGAUAGGUCUAGGUAUUGCCAUCUUUGGUAGGCAAUUCUUCAAUGAGGCAUCCACCUCCUUUAGAAUUUUCUUUCUUUCUAGUGAUUAUCAAACUUUUAGGCAUAAGAUCGAAAAAUUCAUCCGUGGCAAAUGGUUCCUUAAUGAGUGUAAAAAGAUCGGGGUGAAUACUUAUAGAUUUAAGAUCCGCAUUUUCCUUACUAGAUGAUUCACCCUUAUUUUUAGGAACAUACAUAAACUUGGCAAUUUUAGUGGGAGGACUAGGAGUAAUUUUUACGGAAGAAAAAGCAGUUCCCAAGUUGGUAAUGAUACCCUCAAGUUUAUCGAUUCGAGUAGAGUCUAGAUUUAUUUUUUUCAUUAACAAUGGGUUCCUUCUCCUUAAUAUUUUUCAAAGUCACUCCUACCUUAGAUCCAUAUUGAGUAAUUUGAUUAUGAAUCUUUUUAUCUAGAUUUUCAAUGGAUUCAAUGGUAGCAACUUUGUUUUCAAUAAUUUCAAGCAUUUGCAUAACAUGCUCCAAGGUUAACACAGUUCCAUUAACCAAAAGGGGAGGUGAGCCAAAUAAAUCUAUUAAAGCAUUAUAGGAAUCAAAAGUAUGGCUACCCAAAAAAUUCCCUCCGGUAAUGGUAUCAAGGAUAUAUCUAUACCAAGGAUUAGCACCUACAUAAAAAUUGUGAAGAAGGACUGAAGUAGAUUGCUUUCUGGUAGAUCUAUUUUGAGCAUUGCAAAUUCUAUACCAAGCAUCUUUUAGAUUUUCUCCCUCCCUUUGUUUAAAAUUUAGCACUUCAUUCUCGGGAGAUAACGGAGAAGAUAAGGAAUUCGACAUAGCGACAGGUAAGCAAACUAACACACGAGCAAACAAAAGGCAAAGGGAAAGAGAGGGCGAAUAAAGCGGCAAAGGUGAAGUGGGGGAGAGGAAAACGAGAGGCAAAUGGCAAAUAAUGUAAUGCGAGAGAUAGAGAUUGUGAUGGGUACUUGGUAUGUUGACUUUUGCGUAGGCUUCCCCGGCAACGGCGCCAGAAAUGGCUCGUUGACGGGAGAGUAAAUCUUGACUUGACUUGGCAUAGGCCUCCCCGGCAACGGCGCCAGAAAUGGCUCGUUGACGGGAGAGUAAAUCUUGACUUGACUUGGCGUAGGCCUCCCCGACAACGGCGCCAGAAAUCCUUCUUGCUAUGUCUCGAGCUAGCGUUGGUUUUCCCCGAAGAAGAGGGGGUGAUGCAGCACAGUAGCGUAAGUAUUUCCCUCAGUUUUUGAGAACCAAGGUAUCAAUCCAGUAGGAGGUCACGCGCAAGUCCCUCGUACCUGCACAAAACGGUAGCAACUCGCAACCAACACUUAGGGGUUGUCAAUCCCUUCAUGGUCACUUACGAGAGUGAGAUCUGAUAGAGAUAAUUUUUUUGGUAUUUUUGGUAUAAAGAUGCAAAGUAAAAAGUAAAAGCAAAACAAGUAAAAUAAAGUAAUGGAGAUUGAUAUGAUGAGAAUAGACCCGGGGGCCAUAGGUUUCACUAGUGGCUUCUCUCAAGAGCAUAGAUAUUCUACGGUGGGUGAACAAAUUACUGUUGAGCAAUUGAUAGAAUUGAGCAUAGUUAUGAGGUUAUCUAGGUAUGAUCAUGUAUAUAGGCAUCACGUCCGUGACAAGUAGACCGACUCCUGCCUGCAUCUACUACUAUUACUCCACUCAUCGACUGCUAUCCAGCAUGCAUCUAGAGUAUUAAGUUAAAAACAGAGUAACGCCUUAAGCAAGAUGACAUGAUGUAGAGGAAUAAAUUCAUGCAAUAUGAUAAAUACCCCAUCUUGUUAUCCUUGAUGGCAACAAUAUAAUACGUGCCUUGCAACUCUUUCUGUCACUGAGUAAGGACACCGCAAGAUUGAACCCAAAGCUAAGCACUUCUCCUAUUGCAAGAACUACCAAUCUAGUUGGCCAAACCAAACGGAUAAUUCGAAGAGACUUGCAAAGAUAACUCAAUCAUACAUAAAAGAAUUCAGAGAAGAUUCAAAUAUUAUUCAUAGAUAAGUUGGAUCAUAAACCCACAAUUCAUCGGUCUCAACAAACACACCGCAAAAAGAAGAUUACAUCGAAUAGAUCUCCACGAGAGAGGGGGAGAAUAUUGUAUUGAGAUCCAAAAAGAGAGAAAAGGCCAUCUAGCUACUAGCUAUGGACCCUAAGGUCUGAAGUAAACUACUCACACUUCAUCGGAAGGGCUAUGGUGUUGAUGUAGAAGCCCUCCAUGAUGGAUGCCCUCUCCGGCGGAGCUCCGGAACAGGCCCCAAGAUGGGAUCUCGUGGAUACAGGAAGUUGCGGUGGUGGAAUUAGGUUUUUGGCUCCCUCCCUGGUCUAAUGGGGGUACGUAGGUAUAUAUAGGAGGAAGGAGCACGUCGGUGGAGCUCCGAGGGGCCCAUGAGGUAGGGGGGCGCGCCCAGGGGGGCGCCCUCCACCCUCGUGACCUCCCCGGUAACUUUUUGGAGUAGGGUCCAAGUCUCCUGGAUCAUGUUUGGUGAGAAGAUCACGUUCCCGAAGGUUUCAUUCCGUUUGGACUCCGUUUGAUAUUCUGUUUCCUCGAAAUACUGAAAUAGGGAAAAAACAGCAAUUCUGGGCUGGGCCUCCAGUUAAUAGGUUAGUCCCAAAAAUAAUAUAAAAGUGGAAAAUAAAGCCCAAUAUAGUCCAAAACAGUAGAUAAAAUAGCAUGGAGCAAUCAAAAAUUAUAGAUACGUUGGAGACGUAUCACCCCACCAUAGCGAUAGUACACGCACUUGUCACCAUCGUUUACUACAAAGCCGGCAGCAGUUAAUGUUCUUUCGAACUUCUCAUGCCACUCCUUAGGAGCUUGUUUAAGGCCAUAUAAAGACUUUAAUAACUUGCACACCUUUCCUUCUUGACCAGGUACUACAAAACCAUCUGGCUGAUCCAUGUAAAUUUCCUCCUUCAACUCUCCAUUGAGGAAAGCCGUCUUAACGUCCAUUUGAUGAACGAGAAGACCAUGUGAGGCAGCCAGUGAUAGUAGCACCCGAAUUGUGGUCAGUCUAGCCACGGGUGAGUAAGUAUCAAAGAAGUCUUCACCUUCUUCCUGGGUAUAACCCUUGGCCACAAGCCGUGCCUUAUACUUUUCAAUCAUACCAUCAGGUGUAAGCUUCUUCUUGAACACCCACUUACAUCCUACAGGUUUGCACCCAUAAGGACGGUCAGUGAUCUCCCAGGUACCGUUAGCUAAGAUGGAAUCCAUCUCGCUAUGUAUAGCUUCCUUCCAGUAGUCAGCAUCAGGAGAUGCAUAGGCUUCUGAAAUAGUCCUGGGUGUGUCAUCCACGAGGUACACAAUGAAAUCAUCACCAAAAGACUUUGUAGUGCUCUGUCUCUUACUCCUCAUAGGAGUUCCAUUGUUACCCUCAACAGGAUUCUCAACGUGUUCCAUCGCAAUGGUGGGUUCAGGAAUUACAGUGAAUUCCUCACUAGAUGGAGUAGGUAUCUCCUGAUUUGAUGAACUCGACAUAUCCUUCAUAGGAAAUAUGUCCUCAAAGAAAAUUGCAUCAUUUGAUUCCAUAAUCGUACCAACAUGCAUGUCGGAUACCUCAGAUUUUAUUAUCAAAAAUCUAUAGCCGAUGCUAUGAAAAGCAUAGCCCAGAAGAACACAAUUCACGGUUUUUGGUCCAAGCUUGCGCUUCUUGGGAAUUGGUAUAUUGACUUUCGCCAAACAACCCCAAGUACGUAGGUAAGAGAGUUUCAACAUUUUCCUUUCCCAUUCCUCAAAUGGAGUCAUGGUCUUAUGCUUUGUAGGAACUCGGUUUAGGACAUGACACGCAGUCAUUAGCGCCUCCCCCCACAAUUCCUUGGAUAGACCCGAAGUGUCUAACAUGGUGUUAACCAUAUCAGUUAGAGUUCGGUUAUUUCUUUCGACUACCCCAUUUGACUGGGGUGAGUAGGGAGGCGUCCUCUCAUGGAUUAUACCAUGUUCCACAUAAAACAGAUCAAAUUCAUUGGAAAAAUACUCUCCACCACGAUCGGACCUAAGCCGUUUAAUUUUUCGAUCAAGUUGGUUCUCUACCUCAGCUUUAUAGUUUUUAAAGAAAGUCAAAGCCUCAUCUUUUGAUUUCAGAAGAUACACAUAACAAUAUCUAGUGGAGUCAUCAAUCA
rnacentral:lncRNA from 1 species